rnacentral:rRNA from 1 species
GAUGAACGCUGGCGGCGUGCCUAAUACAUGCAAGUCGAGCGAAUGGCUUAAGAGCUUGCUCUUAUGAAGUUAGCGGCGGACGGGUGAGUAACACGUGGGUAACCUGCCCAUAAGACUGGGAUAACUCCGGGAAACCGGGGCUAAUACCGGAUAACAUUUUGAACCGCAUGGUUCGAAAUUGAAAGGCGGCUUCGGCUGUCACUUAUGGAUGGACCCGCGUCGCAUUAGCUAGUUGGUGAGGUAACGGCUCACCAAGGCAACGAUGCGUAGCCGACGUGAGAGGGUGAUCGGCCACGCUGGGAACGAGACACGGCCCAGAGUCCUACGGGAGGCAGGAGUAGGGAAUCUUCCGCAAUGGACGAAAGUCUGACGGAGCAACGCCGCGUGAGUGAUGAAGGCUUUCGGGUCGUAAAACUCUGUUGUUAGGGAAGAACAAGUGCUAGUUGAAUAAGCUGGCACCUUGACGGUACCUAACCAGAAAGCCACGGCUAACUACGUGCCAGCCGCCGCAGUAA